rnacentral:lncRNA from 1 species
GAUAAAGCCUGAAUACAACUCAUGGAGAGGCUGAUAGAACCACAGUUCCUAAUGCAAUAAUACGAAAUCUCAAAGAGCAACUUGCAACAGUUUUUGCCAAUUACUCGUGGGCGUGCAUCAGACGAAGUCUUAAUCAGAGCGGCCUAGAUAGGAAGAAAAAACAAAAGUAAUCAGCAAUGCAAUUAUGAUUCUGUAAUAAUGAUAAUAUGUGAAAAAUUUCUUUUAUACA